rnacentral:rRNA from 1 species
UUUUCUUCUUUUUUUUAAUAUUGGGGAAAAUUUUUAUUUUUGGCCGAGGCCUGCAGGCAGAAGCAACCAGUGGGUGAAGGGGGAAAACGGUUUUUAAAUUUCAACCCCCAGUGGGGGACGUAAAUUGGGGGUUCCCCCAGAAAAAACCCCCGCCAAAUUUUUUCCCCCCAGCCGGGUUAAUAAUAAGGGGCCAACCUUUUUCUGAAUUUUUUGGGGGAAAAAAGUGGUCGGGGGGUCGUUUAUUUCCUUGGGAAAAACCCGGGGUUUAACCCGGGGUGGCCGUCGGAUAGUGCCGGGCUGGAUUCAGUUAGGGGGAGGCGAAAUUCCGGGGUUAGGGGGGAAUUGCCUAAAUUUCGGGGGGAACCCCCGGGGGGAAGGGGGCCUGCUGGCCCCCCCCCAACGUUGAGGGGGGAAAGCUUGGGGGGCGACCGGGUUUAAUUACCCGGGUAUUUCCCCCCCUUAAACGAUGGCCCCUAGGUGGGGGGGGGAUCGACCCCCUCAGUGCCGCAGCUAACGCGUUAAGUGCCCCGCUGGGGAGUACGCCGCAGCAUUUCCC